AAUUAGAAAAAAACAAUGUGUUUUUUUUUUAAUUCAUUCAAAAUUCGUAACAUUCAUCGUAGUUUAUUUUUGGUGUUUCCCAUUUUUGUAAAAUUGUUUACGUUAAGUUGAUCACGUUCUUUGCGAGUGUCUGAUGCGGCUUAAUGAAGCAUCAUGAUAAAGGUUGUUUUAUUUUUCGACGUUUUAACAUUGUUGACGUAGAAUAAGUGGAAACAUUUAAAAAUAAUAAUUGCUUUGAAUAACUUAAUUCUCAGGGCCUAUUUUGUACUUAUUAUCAAUUUUCUAAAAUGUAUGCCAUUUAUAGGCUAUUUCAAAAUUUUAAAUAAUUUUCUUUCCUUUUAUUAAAAAUGUUUCAUUUGAAAACUUCUAAAUAUUGACAUUUCAUGGAGAAAAAAAGAGCGAAUAAUCCUUAAACUUAGGCAUCUGAAAUGUCCGAAUCUCAUGUUUUACAAGGAUUUAAGAAAAUUUUGGAAACUAACAAAGCCAUUUUGUAAUUUUAGCUUUAAAAAAUGUUAAAGAUUCUAAGAUCGUUUGAAAGAAGCAAAGAAAUCAUUUUAUUUACUUAAUAAAAUAGCUUUGAUUUUUCGUGUAGUUUUUAAAAGAUUUCUAAAAUGUUUCACAAUUCCCACAACAAAAAGUCAAAACAAUUUAUCACAUUGACGUAAUGUUUAAAAACAUUUGAACUAAUACACUUAUUUUUAAACACUCAUUAACAACAAUAUCACUUAUCAAAACAAAUCUGGAUCAAAAAAGAUUUCCAUUGUAAACUUGAGUUGCUAGCCCAUCAUAUGGUUUACUUUUUUAACCAUCGCCGUCAUCACGUCAACCAAAGACCAAAAACCUGUCUCUAAUUUAAAUUUUUAAAUAAAUUACAUUCACACGCGUAAAGCGUUUAUGUUGUUUUGUUUGGCCCAGAGUAUAAAAGCAACUCUUCCAUAAACAAAUCUAACAGACCAAUUUCGUGAUUUUCUAAGACAACACUGAACUAAGUUCCUAUAACUAGCAUUUUUGCCAAACGAAUUUUAAACGUGUUAUGUGUCAAUGAAUAACCGCGCAGACGGAAAAGCUAAAUUACUUGCUAACUUGAGUUUAUCAAAGCACCUCUCAUCCAAAAAAGGAUCCCGCACAAGUAAUUGUGGAAAUUGUCUAGAAAAUUCAGUGUUGGUGUAUAUACACAGCGUGCCCUGAGUGCAAAGAUAGCUCAAGCAGUUCCCAUCUUAAAAUCCUCUAACACUGCCAAACCAACCUAAAACUAGUGCCAACAACAAUAUGGUUCAAAAGGAGCGUUGUUUGAAGAAUGCCACCAUCGCCAAGGAUGUUAGUCCAGUGCGUCAACAAUGGGAGAAGACAACUUCAAUUGCCAAAAACGACCACCAUCAGAACUCGUAUUCGAGCACCAACAAAAUGACGACAACCAAUGACGCCGCUGCUGCUGACAAAUGGAAAUUUUCGAAAAUGAUCGCCACGGACAGAAAUAAGUUUAACAAUCUUCAUUUUUGUUAAAUUUAUUUUAUAACAAGCACCAAAAAUGUUAUAGUGAACCUUGUUUGUUUAUGUGUUAUGCGAGAAUAAAUUAAUAUUAAAACAGA